rnacentral:lncRNA from 1 species
AGCCAGCCCUGAUGGAGGGUACAGUGUCCCUGCCUGGCUGUGGCUCAUCCCAUCUCUCUGCCCACGCAGGACAUUCUGGGUUCUUACUCUCCCAACCAUGUCCUGGCAGCCCUGGAGCACCUGGCCCUGGAGAACACCCUGCAGAUGCAAGAGCUCGCCAGCCGCAUUGACAUUCCCCGCGACGUAGAGGCUCUCAAGUGGGUACCACUAAGGGGGUGGCAGUGUGGGUGCAUGGUGCUGUACGGAGCCAUUGCCCCCCCAGUGAUAGUGGCCUGUACUGGGGUGGGGGGCAGAGUCAGAGUUUGGGAGAGGGGGUACUGUGGGGCUUUGGCCGCCUGGUGAUGGCAGCUUGUACUUCAGGGGGCAGAGUCAGGGCUCUGGGAGGCUGUCGCCCCAGUGGUGCUGCAGUGACCCACGGCACCAGUGCUGGGGCUUGUAUCUCUGCCCUGCAGGUUCCGCUACGAGAGCUCUCGCCUGGAAGACCUGGCGGGGCCGCCAGCAGCCCUGCCCUCGGUCCGGGGCCUCAUACAGGAAGGCUGGAGCAGGUGUGAGGAGCUGUGGGUGCAGCAGCUCCCCCUACAGGCCCGGGAGCGGCACGGCACUGCACGGCUGGCUUCCCUCGUGCAGGAGAUGCACCGGCUGCUGGCGGACGGCUCGGAGCGCGCCAUCCUCGCCAGGUAGAGACAUCCCGCCCCCUGGGCUCACCCCUGCAUCCUUGGUGACCACCCACCCAUUGAAGAACAUCCCCUGCUGGGGAGACUUUCUGCCCCUGGGGUCCCCCUGCACUGUGAGGGCUCCCUGGAGAGCACUCACUGCUGGGGAGACUUCCCUGUCCCGUGGGGUCGCCCUGUGGUGAGCACCCCCUGCUGGGGAGACAUCCCCACCACUCAGGGUCCCUCCUGCACAGUCAGUGACAGUGACCACCCAACCCUCAGAUAGUGCCCCCUGCUGGGAAGAUUCCCUGCCCAUGUGGUCGUCCCCCCCAGACCUACAGAGCACGCCCCCUACUGAGCCAGCCUGUCCCGCCCGGCCCCCAGGGCGGUGCUGGAGCUGGAGCUGCGGGCUGUACGCCUGGCAGGGCUGCGGGAUGGGCUACACCGGGGCUGCCGGGAGCUGGAACGGGAGGCGAGUGCCCGCCACGCGGAGCUGCAGGCCUUGCAGAGCAAACGGCAGCGCAUCCUGGACUUCCGCCACCUGGUGGUGAGUGGGGGGGGGGUGCGGAGUGGGGUUAGAGCAGGGUAACCUCUGGAUAUGGGACCUGCCU